rnacentral:rRNA from 1 species
GUGCAGCAGGCGCGAAAUCUCCGCAAUACACGAAAGUGUGACGGGGCCAUCCCGAGUGCCGUCCGCUGAGGACGGCUUUCCCCAGUGUACAUAGCUGGGGGAAUAAGGAGAGGGCAAGCCUGGUGUCAGCCGCCGCGGUAAUACCAGCUCUCCGAGUGGUGGGGACGCUUAUUGGGCCUAAAGCAUCCGUAGCCGGCUGGGCAAGUCCUCCGUUAAAUCCAACGAUUCAAUCGUUGGGCUGCGGGGGAUACUGUCCAGCUUGGGGGCGGGAGAGGCCGACGGUAUUCCCGGGGUAGGGGUGAAAUCCUAUAAUCCCGGGAGGACCACCAGUGGCGAAGGCUGUCGGCUAGAACGCGCCGACGGUGAGGGAUGAAAGCU